rnacentral:misc_RNA from 1 species
UUGAAUCAUCGGCGAGGGUUGUAGCUGGCCUUUCGGGGCAUGUGCACGCCCCCAAGCCCUUAAAUCCAUACACACUUUGUGAACCUCAACGUAAGGGCCUGUGAAAGGGUCCUUAUGUCUCAUUUCAUGGACACGCAUGUCUUAAUAGAAUGUAAAUUGAUAUCUUCGCCUCGAAAAAGAGCGUUGGUAAACUUACA